GGCGGCUGCCGGAGCGCGGCUCUGGCAUUGGCCGCCGGGCACGUCGCUCCGGUCAGCCGAGAUACUCGCUGAAGGGAGAGCUGUUUCGCUGGUUGUGUUUUUGUCUGCUUAAACAUCGAGCUGGAAAACACUUCUCUGUGGUCUGAUAAAUAAUAAAAGUGAUCAUUUCUCCUUCCCUGUAAAUGACACAGUUGAUAGCAUUGGCCAGCAAGAGAUCCAAGUUACUGCCUCGAAGAUUUUAGAAGAUUUUACAUUUUCAGAUGCAGGCUCCUGCCUUCAGAUUCCUAUAUGUAUACACACAUACGGCGCAGUGUUAGGCAAUGGUGGAAGCUCCUCAUAUCUGUUAGAGGUGUGUGUCUUUUGUCCUGACUUUAUACAUCUGAAUGGAUUUUUGGAGCUUGCUUCAGAGUUUCCUCCUCUUCCUGUGCAUAGGGAUUGGACAUAA
rnacentral:lncRNA from 1 species